AUGUGGAAUCAGUAACCUUCAUCCAGCACGUUGACUAGUUUCUUCUCUUCUUUAAAUCCACUCGUUUCUUCUUGCUGCUCUGUGAUAUGUUUGUUUCUACAAACUCAAAUAUCUCUGCAUUAGCAGCAGUUAGCCGCUGUUUCAACAACCUUC